AACGAACGCUGGCGGCAUGCCUAACACAUGCAAGUCGAACGAGACCAUCGUGUGUAGUUGCGCACGGGUGCGUAACGCGGGGGAACCUUCCCUUAGGCUCGGAAUAAUUCUCCUACGUGGGUGCUAAUGCCGGAUAAUUUCUUCGAACAAAAGAUUUGUCGUGUUUGUGUGGGCGCGAGUUGGAUUAGCUGGUUGGGAGGGUAAAAGCCUAUCACGGCGACGAUCCAUAGCUGGGCUGAGAGGAAGAUCAGCCACACUGGGAGGAAGACCCGGCCCAGACUCCUACGGGAGGCAGCAGUGGGGGAUAUUGGACAAUGGGCGAAAGCCUGAUCCAGCAAUGCCGCGUGAGUGAUGAAGGCGGGAGGGUUGUAAAGCUCUUUUACCCGGGAUGAUAAUGACAGUACCGGGAGAAUAAGCACCGGCUAACUCCGUG
rnacentral:rRNA from 1 species